rnacentral:tRNA from 1 species
AGGGUAAUAGUUAAUUAUAACAUUUAACUUGCACUUAAAAAAUAUUGAAAAUAUCAAUUUACCUUA